ACCGAAAACCUUCUCCCGGGAUCAGGCGCGGCGGCACCCCCAGGCCAGGGGCACCUCUGGUGGGGCAGAAGGUGAUUGAAUUACUCAGAUAUGAAGAUCAUCAUCUAGGUUUUGUGUAAAAGGCCCUGGAUAUUUUAAGUGGCCAUUUUGGAUUUACAGUGUUUUUGGAUAAUUUUGCCCCAGAAGUUUAUUAAAAUUGGCAAGAAUCGUCUGUGAAGUGAAUUGAUAGUAGUGAACAAUUCAGCAAGCUACUUAAAAAGAGACCCAGGCAGCAUUUCUUCAGUAUUUUGGUUCAAACGGAUUAUAUAACUGGUUACAGUAUUUCAGCUGGUGGUAAUUUUUGCCUCCCCUUCCCCCACCCCGUUGUUGGGGUUCUUCAGCCGAAACUGAGAGACGUUGAUUUGUGUACUGAGUAGUUUCAGCAGUUUCAAAUGACUGAGUAUUGCUGAAGUUUCAUGGCAGUUUAUUUUUACCUUUAUUGAAAGUUUUAGGAAUUUUUGACUUCAGCUCUUUCAUGUCACAAUGGGACACUUUUUCUGAAUGAAGAGAUUGAAAGAAUACAGAGUUUUUUUCCUUUUAUCUUUUAUUUACGUGGAAAUUUAAGAUGUUGCAGUUUUCCGGCAGCAUGGUAGUAUUGAGAUAGCUAUGUGUGUCUCUGUAUAUGCUGAUGUUUAGGAAUGCUCUUCAGAUGUGAAAUUUUCUUUUUGUUUUUGCUUUUUGGCUCGUAAAUUGGAUAUUUCAUCUGGAGUGGACAAGUACAACAGUGGCAAGUACAUGGAAUAAUAAAGAAGACUUUGAUCUUAAAUCUAAAGAACUUGGCUAAUUCGGGAGAUAGCCAUAUGAAAACUUUAAAACAGAAGUAUGGGUAGCUGACUUGAAGUAACUCUAUGUCAAAUAGUCGUAGGUUAAGUAUCUUCAAAGAACUUCGAUAUUAUUUCAGAGGAUACAAAAUAAAAAUACAAACUGGAAAAUAAAGAUUACAGAGAAAAAACCAACACCUUCCUGUGCAGUCCUGUUGGAAUUUGGACUUGCCAUGAGGUGUUGAAGCCUUGUUUCACUGAGUUGGAGAGACUGGACCUAAAUGGCGCAGCAUGACUUUGCUCCAGCCUGGCUUAAUUUCCCUACUCCACCAUCAUCAACAAAGUCGUCAUUGAAUUUUGAGAAGCAUUCUGAAAACUUUGCAUGGACAGAGAAUCGUUAUGAUGUGAACCGUCGACGACACAACUCUUCAGAUGGCUUUGAUUCUGCUAUUGGGCGUCCUAAUGGAGGUAACUUUGG
rnacentral:lncRNA from 1 species